CAGCCCUGGGUCUGCUCGGUGCUCUGGCUCGCUCUGAUGAGCCCGUGAUGGCAAAGAAGCUGCCCCAGGUUGUGGAGGCUGUGCAGUGUCUGUGCAGCGACCCCAGGACCCAGGUGAGGAGGGCCAUUCUGCUCUUCAUCAAGGAUGUGCUCAGUGCUAACGCCCGGAGCUGCUCAGCCUGGGAUGUGGUGGGG